CACCCCUCCCACGCGCGCGACCACAAACGCAACCAAUACCCCUCACCCCCUACCUGUUCCGCCACGGGAAAAAUACCCGAAAGAAAGGCUCCCAAGCAAGAAAAGGCAGACGAGGAGGGUCGGCCUAAUCCGAUCUGCGGUCUCGUCAAACCGCCGAUUUCUGUUGUGUCAAUAUUAUCACAGCUCUUGACUUAGAAGCGUGCAGAACCUACGCCUGCUGCCUAGGAUCAGUAUCAGGCUGGAUUCCUGCUGGAGAAGUCAGAAAGUAUCUGGACGAGAAGUCGAGGUGUUGCUCCCAUGAUUGCUGCAAAUUUGUUGGUAGCUAUGAGCAGCUGCGUGAGCAUGCUAGAACAGCUCACCUGCGUGCAAAGUCUGCCCUUGUAGAUAUCUCAAGGAAAAGGUCUUGGGAUCGCCUUGAACGUGAGCAGGAGUUUGGUGAUGUGAUUAGUGCAAUCAGGUCACAGAAUCCUGGUGCAGUAAUAGUUGGUGACUAUGUUAUUGAGACUAGAGAUGCAAUGUCUCCUGAUGAAGAUUCUGGGGAAGAAAGUGGUGAUGAGUGGUGGUCUCCUGCCCAAGACCAAGUAGAAUCACCGGAUAGACAUCGUGCCCCUAGGCCCUGGCUGAAUGGAAGACUAGGAUCACCUACCAUUUGGCCAGAUGGAAGGCAUGCCUUCCCUAGGUUUCUGCCACAGCCCAGGCCAUUCAGUGAUAGGCGCAGCUCACGUGCAGAUUGGCAGGGCAUCCGACGGUCAAGCGCGCAAAGCUGGCUGCGCCAGGGUUUCUCGAAUCGGCACUCUAGGCACACCAGCAGUUACCGCGGAUAUCGCCAUGGCAUCUUUGAUCGCCGUUACGCUGGAAACAAUCGUGCAGGUAUUGAUAGGAGGCAGGAUGGCCCAACAUUUCCGCCGGGAAGACGGCAGCGUUUGAGAUACACGCAAAGAAGCCAGCAUGAUCCAUGAUCGGCCGAAGCAACACUACCUGUGCAGUAUUUAGUUAUUACAAACAGCCAAGCCAUCCUUGUAAAAUAGUUAGUGGUGGUUAAGAAUAAAUAUCUUGGCCUAUUUACUAUUCGUGUAUUAUAUCUGUUAGAAACGUUCUAGUGCAGAUGCAGAACUUCCCUUCUAAAUGUCUCUAUUCAAUGCCUUGUUCUUGGUAGUCUUUGUCUUUUUUUUCUGUGUGAGGUGGUUCUGUGAUUAAGUUGAAAUGAGAUAUAACUGCAUUUUCUCCCAG
rnacentral:rRNA from 1 species